rnacentral:rRNA from 1 species
UGGGGAAUAUUGGACAAUGGACCAAGAGUCUGAUCCAGCAAUUCUGUGUGCACGAUGAAGCUUUUCGGAAUGUAAAGUGCUUUCAGUUGGGAAGAAAGAAAUGACGGUACCAACAGAAGAAGUGACGGCUAAAUACGUGCCAGCAGCCGCGGUAAUACGUAUGUCACGAGCGUUAUCCGGAUUUAUUGGGCGUAAAGCGCGUCUAGGUGGUUAUGUAAGUCUGAUGCGAAAAUGCAGGGCUCAACUCUGUAUUGCGUUGGAAACUGUAUAACUAGAGUACUGGAGAGGUAAGCGGAACUACAAGUGUAGAGGUGAAAUUCGUAGAUAUUUGUAGGAAUGCCGAUGGGGAAGCCAGCUUACUGGACAGAUACUGACGCUGAAGCGCGAAAGCGUGGGUAGCAAACAGGAUUAGAUACCCUGGUAGUCCACGCCGUAAACGAUGAUUACUAGGUGUUGGGGGUCGAACCUCAGCGCCCAAGCAAACGCGAUAAGUAAUCCGCCUGGGGAGUACGUACGCAAGUAUG